ensembl:lncRNA
AUGAGGAAGGAGACAAAAAGGCCAUUUAAAGCUCUGGUUCUAGAAUGCCCCUAUUAUGCAUUUAAUGAAAUCAAGUGGCAUGUGGGUUUGCUGUAUGUGGACAUACUUUUGGCUGUAGGUUGCUUUCAUGAACCCACAGAGACAGAAACCUGCAGCAAUGGAGAAAAUGCUAAUACAGACGUCUUACUUCAGUGUCUGGCAAACGAGAUUAUAUCUUGAGGACGAUGUAGACGUCAGCUUCCCUGUCGAGGGAAGCUGAAGUUUUCCAAUGAUUCCUGAAGCCAACAUUCAAUUAAUUUCCCUGAAGAGCCCUAUUGCCUAAUGGAACACGGCGGGAACGGCCGCUCUGGAAAGCAGGAUCCGUGGAGCCCUGGCUUCUGGCUCACUGGCUUUCAGCUGAGCCUUCCAAAUGGCUGGGAAUGAACAUGCAGUUAGAAGCCUUGGUUUGGAACGGUGGUUCUCAAACUUCAUGGUGUGUCACAGUCACUGGGGAACUUGUCCAAACACAGAUCGACAGACCCCAUCCCAAAGUUUCUGAUUCUGCAGCUUUAGGGAGGGCCCCGGGAACAUGAGCUCCUCUUCCCAAGCUCCCAGGUGAUGCUGAGGUUGCUGUCCCGGGAACCCACUUUGGGAACCGCUGAUCUAGGGUGUGCUGGGGCAACUGGUUGUCAGAGGGGUCAGGACACUUGGUCUCCUUCUCUUUGGUCUCACUGAGAAUGUGAAUGUAAAUAGGCCAUUUGCAUGGAGUCCCCUGCGGGGCACACUGGAUGGCGGGGGAGCGUCUGGAAGGCGUCUGCACACUGGCUUGCAGCCUCAGUGACCAUCAUCUAGUUCAGGUCCUGCGUGGUCCCCGGAGGAGCCCAGUGACAAAUACGGAGGAGAUGGUGAGUCUGUGACACGGCGCCUGCACUGGACCCCUGCUGAGGCUGCAGCUCACAAGAAGGACGUUGGUCUGUCUUUGAACAAACAGAUGGGCCCUGCAUUUCCAGGAGCUUUGGAGGAUAUUUAAAAUACUUUCCUCUGACUUGGUUUAAACAGAAUCAUGAACACCUUUCUCCACGAAAGCAGCAUCUUUUUGUGUUUUCCAAAGCCUGAGCGUCUCCAUGGAAUCUUACCUUGGGCUGAUAAUUCUUCCCUCAAGACAGCAGUACCUUUGACACAGGACACCCUCCAAAGCCCAGCACCCCUGCCUAAGUCAGACAGGAGGGCAAGGCCCAGCGCCCCUGCCUAAGUCAGACAGGAGAGCAAAGCCCAGCGCCCCUGCCUAAGUCAGACAGGAAGGCAAGGCCCAGCGCCCCUGCCUAAGUCAGACAGGAGGGCAAGGCCCAGCGCCCCUGCCUAAGUCAGACAGGAGAGCAAAGCCCAGCGCCCCUGCCUAAGUCAGACAGGAGGGCAAGGCCCAGCGCCCCUGCCUAAGUCAGACAGGAGGGCAAGGCCUAGCGCGCCUGCUUAAGUCAGACAGGAGGGCAAGGCCCAGCGCCCCUGCCUAAGUCAGACAGGAGAGCAAAGCCCAGCGCCCCUGCCUAAGUCAGACAGGAGGGUGGGGUGCAAGGGUACCUCUGCUUCUCUGCCAAGCUUAUUUGACUAUGGCCUGUCUGAACCCUUUUAUAAGGGCUGCUUAGUCAUUUCUUCAACAAAUGUUCCCCACCACCCUUUUUUUUUCUUUUUUCUUUUUUGAGAUGGGGUCUCACUCUGUCGCCCAGGCUGGAGUGCAUAGGCUGGAGUACAGUGGCAGGAUCUCAGCUCACUGCAACCUCUGCUUCCCCGGUUCAAGAGAUUCUCCUGCCUCAGCCUCCUGAGUAGCUGGGAUUACAGGAAAGCGCCACCAUGCCCGGGUAAUUUUUGUAUUUUUAGUAGAGAAGGGAUUUCACCACGUUGGCCAGGCUGGUCUCGAACUCCUGACCUCAGGCGAUCCACUUGCCUCGGCCUCGCAAAGUGCUAGGAUUACAGGUGUGAACCACUGCGCCCGGCCAACAAAUGUCUUUUGAAGACUGACUAGGCCCAGGGCGUGCUUCCUGGAGAGAGAGAUGUCAUAGUGAAAGGAGCUCCCUGCUCUCACAGAGCUCACGCCCUAGGGUAGAGACACAGGAUAAAGAAAUAAGUGAAAAAUCAAGCAUAUAGGUACUGCGGUUAGACACUUGUCCAUGUUUUGAAGCAAGUAAAGCAAUA